UAUGUGUUGUUGGGUAGGGGAGCGUUCUGUAAGCCUGCGAAGGUGUGCUGUGAGGCAUGCUGGAGGUAUCAGAAGUGCGAAUGCUGACAUAAGUAACGAUAAAGCGGGUGAAAAGCCCGCUCGCCGGAAGACCAAGGGUUCCUGUCCAACGUUAAUCGGGGCAGGGUGAGUCGACCCCUAAGGCGAGGCCGAAAGGCGUAGUCGAUGGGAAACAGGUUAAUAUUCCUGUACUUGGUGUUACUGCGAAGGGGGGACGGAGAAGGCUAUGUUAGCCGGGCGACGGUUGUCCCGGUUUAAGCAUGUAGGCUGGUUAUCCAGGCAAAUCCGGAUAAUCAAGGCUGAGGUGUGAUGACGAGGCACUACGGUGCUGAAGUAACAAAUGCCCUGCUUCCAGGAAAAGCCUCUAAGCAUCAGGUAACAUCAAAUCGUACCCCAAACCGACACAGGUGGUCAGGUAGAGAAUACCAAGGCGCUUGAGAGAACUCGGGUGAAGGAACUAGGCAAAAUGGUGCCGUAACUUCGGGAGAAGGCACGCUGGUGUGUAGGUGAAGUCCCUGCGGAUGGAGCUGAGACCAGUCGAAGAUACCAGCUGGCUGCAACUGUUUAUUAAAAACACAGCACUGUGCAAACACGAAAGUGGACGUAUACGGUGUGACGCCUGCCCGGUGCCGGAAGGUUAAUUGAUGGGGUUAUCCGUAAGGAGAAGCUCUUGAUCGAAGCCCCGGUAAACGGCGGCCGUAACUAUAACGGUCCUAAGGUAGCGAAAUUCCUUGUCGGGUAAGUUCCGACCUGCACGAAUGGCGUAAUGAUGGCCAGGCUGUCUCCACCCGAGACUCAGUGAAAUUGAACUCGCUGUGAAGAUGCAGUGUACCCGCGGCAAGACGGAAAGACCCCGUGAACCUUUACUAUAGCUUGACACUGAACAUUGAGCCUUGAUGUGUAGGAUAGGUGGGAGGCUUUGAAGCGUGGACGCCAGUCUGCGUGGAGCCAACCUUGAAAUACCACCCUUUAAUGUUUGAUGUUCUAACGUUGGCCCCUGACCGGGGUUGCGGACAGUGUCUGGUGGGUAGUUUGACUGGGGCGGUCUCCUCCCAAAGCGUAACGGAGGAGCACGAAGGUUAGCUAAUCCUGGUCGGACAUCAGGAGGUUAGUGCAAUGGCAUAAGCUAGCUUGACUGCGAGCGUGACGGCGCGAGCAGGUGCGAAAGCAGGUCAUAGUGAUCCGGUGGUUCUGAAUGGAAGGGCCAUCGCUCAACGGAUAAAAGGUACUCCGGGGAUAACAGGCUGAUACCGCCCAAGAGUUCAUAUCGACGGCGGUGUUUGGCACCUCGAUGUCGGCUCAUCACAUCCUGGGGCUGAAGUAGGUCCCAAGGGUAUGGCUGUUCGCCAUUUAAAGUGGUACGCGAGCUGGGUUUAGAACGUCGUGAGACAGUUCGGUCCCUAUCUGCCGUGGGCGCUGGAGAAUUGAGGGGGGCUGCUCCUAGUACGAGAGGACCGGAGUGGACGCAUCACUGGUGUUCGGGUUGUCAUGCCAAUGGCACUGCCCGGUAGCUAAAUGCGGAAGAGAUAAGUGCUGAAAGCAUCUAAGCACGAAACUUGCCCCGAGAUGAGUUCUCCCUGAGACUUUAAGUCUCCUGAAGGAACGUU
rnacentral:rRNA from 1 species